rnacentral:rRNA from 1 species
UACGAAGGGGGCUAGCGUUGUUCGGAAUUACUGGGCGUAAAGCGUGCGCAGGCGGUUUUGUAAGUCUGACGUGAAAGCCCCGGGCUUAACCUGGGAAUUGCGUUGGAGACUGCAAGGCUUGAAUCUGGCAGAGGGGGGUAGAAUUCCACGUGUAGCAGUGAAAUGCGUAGAGAUGUGGAGGAACACCGAUGGCGAAGGCAGCCCCCUGGGUCAAGAUUGACGCUCAUGCACGAAAGCGUGGGGAGCAAACAGG